AGGACAGAAGCUGGACAGGGAAAUAGACAACCUUCCAUUCCCAGAGUCGCCCAAAUAUACUUGGGGCAGGAGGUGAUGGUCAAGAACUUGAGGAACAGGGGAGAAAAAAGAGAAAAAAACUGUGGGGAUCAGCCUCAUUCAAUAAAUUUAGGAGCUUUCUACCUUUUCUGAAGUCACCAGACAGUUUCCAUAAGCCAGUGAAUAUCUUCCUUCAUAAUCUAACAGACAGAGUCUUCACAAUCGCGAACCCCAGGUCUUUGAUCUCCUUUGAGUCAACUUUUGUGCAGAGUGAGAGACGGUGUUUCAUUCUUCUACGUUCGUUUUUGGAGUAUAGGAAAGCUAUUGACCAGAAACUUUGCAACUGCUAAAAGAAAACAUAUCAUCAACACUCCAACAGACUGAUCCAAUGGUCAACUUCCUUAACAAGAUACCAAAAGCUAAGAUAUAAAACCAAGAAUCAACAGCAUGGUAUUGGCAUCAAAAUAGACAUGAAGACCAAUGAAAUAGAAUAGAUAACACAGACAAACCCACAAACUUACAGUCAUCUGAUACUUGACAAAGGUGACAAAAGUGUAUGUUGGAGAAAAGACCGCCUUUUUAACAAAGGGUGCUGAGGAAAAAGGACAUCCAUAUGUAGGAGAAUGAAACUAGAACCCUAUCUCUCACCCUGCCCCAAAGCCAACCCAGAGUAGAUCAAAGACUUAGGAAUUAGACCAGAAACUUUGCAAGUGCUACAAGAAACUUCAACUUAUUGGUACCCGCACCAACUUUCUUAACAGGACCCCAAAAUUUCAAGAAAUAAAUUCAAGAAUUAAUAAGUGGGAUGCCAUCAAAUUAAAAGCCUUCUACAAAGCAAAGGAAACAAGAACAUGAAGAGAGAGCCCAAAGGAUGGGAGAAAAUCUUUACCAGCUAUUCCUCUGACAGGGGAUGAAUAUUCAGAAUAUAUAAAGAACUCAAAAAUCUCAACACUACAGAAACAAAUAACUUUCUUAUGUUUACAUAUGAAUACAGAACCAGUGUAACUCACAUCAUGUACAACCCCAAGAAUGGGCACUUAUUCUCCAUGUAUGUAAGGUAUGUCAAAAUAUAUUCUACUAUCAUGUAUAACUAAAAAGAACAAACAAGAAGAAAUAGAUGCAAGCAUAUAUGAUCCAUUGACUUUUGCUAAAAAUGCCAAGAAAAACCAAUGAGAGCUAUCUUUUUAGUAAAUGGUAUUG